GAUGAACGCUGGCGGCGUGCCUAAUACAUGCAAGUCGAGCGAACGGACGAGAAGCUUGCUUCUCUGAUGUUAGCGGCGGACGGGUGAGUAACACGUGGAUAACCUACCUAUAAGACUGGGGUAACUUCGGGAAACCGGAGCUAAUACCGGAUAAUAUUUUGAACCGCAUGGUUCAAAAGUGAAAGACGGUCUUGCUGUCACUUAUAGAUGGAUCCGCGCUGCAUUAGCUAGUUGGUAAGGUAACGGCUUACCAAGGCAACGAUGCAUAGCCGACCUGAGAGGGUGAUCGGCCACACUGGAACUGAGACACGGUCCAGACUCCUACGGGAGGCAGCAGUAGGGAAUCUUCCGCAAUGGGCGAAAGCCUGACGGAGCAACGCCGCGUGAGUGAUGAAGGUCUUCGGAUCGUAAAACUCUGUUAUUAGGGAAGAACAUAUGUGUAAGUAACUGUGCACAUCUUGACGGUACCUAAUCAGAAAGCCACGGCUAACUACGUG
rnacentral:rRNA from 1 species